UGCUUAACAGCUAGCCCGCCCAAUCAACAACAACAACUCAAUAUUAAUAACCCCAAAUUUACUAACAACCAAUAAAACAAACCAUUUUUCCCCCCUAGUAUGGGCGACAGAAAAGGAC
rnacentral:rRNA from 1 species